rnacentral:rRNA from 1 species
AUUGAACGCUGGCGGCAGGCCUAACACAUGCAAGUCGAGCGGAUGAAGGGAGCUUGCUCCUGGAUUCAGCGGCGGACGGGUGGGUAAUGCCUAGGAAUCUGCCUGGUAGUGGGGGAUAACGUCCGGAAACGGGCGCUAAUACCGCAUACGUCCUGAGGGAGAAAGUGGGGGAUCUUCGGACCUCACGCUAUCAGAUGAGCCUAGGUCGGAUUAGCUAGUUGGUGGGGUAAAGGCCUACCAAGGCGACGAUCCGUAACUGGUCUGAGGGGAUGAUCAGUCACACUGGAACUGAGACACGGUCCAGACUCCUACGGGAGGCAGCAGUGGGGAAUAUUGGACAAUGGGCGAAAGCCUGAUCCAGCCAUGCCGCGUGUGUGAAGAAGGUCUUCGGAUUGUAAAGCACUUUAAGUUGGGAGGAAGGGCAGUAAGUUAAUACCUUGCUGUUUUGACGUUACCAACAGAAUAAGCACCGGCUAACUUCGUG